rnacentral:rRNA from 1 species
AACGAACGCUGGCGGCAGGCCUAACACAUGCAAGUCGAACGCCCUAGCAAUAGGGAGUGGCAGACGGGUGAGUAACGCGUGGGAACCUUCCCUGUGGUGCGGAAUAACUCGCCGAAAGGCGUGCUAAUACCGCAUAAGCCCGCAAGGGGAAAGAUUUAUCGCCAUAGGAUGGGCCCGCGUAGGAUUAGCUAGUUGGUGAGGUAAUGGCUCACCAAGGCGACGAUCCUUAGCGGUUUGAGAGAAUGACCAGCCACACUGGGACUGAGACACGGCCCAGACUCCUACGGGAGGCAGCAGUGGGGAAUAUUGGACAAUGGGCGCAAGCCUGAUCCAGCGAUGCCGCGUGUGUGAAGAAGGCCUGCGGGUUGUAAAGCACUUUCAGUAGGGAAGAAAGCCGAGUGCUAAUA